AGUUAUUUAGCUUAUACUUAAAGCAAGUAUUUUGAAAAUACUAGAAAGAAUAAUUUUAAUAACUU
rnacentral:tRNA from 1 species